CCUACUGGUGGCAGCAGUGGGGAAUAUUGGUCAAUGGACGAGAGUCUGAACCAGCGACGUCGCGUGAAGGAUGACUUCCCUAUUGAUUGUAAGCUUCUUUUGUAUGGAAGUAAAUUGUUCCACGUGUGUGAUUUUUUCUGUACCAUCUGAAUAAGGAUCGGCUAACUCCGUGCCAGCGGCCGCGGUAAUACGGAGGAUCCGAGCGUUAUCCGGAUUUAGUGGGUUUAAAGGGAGCGUAGUGGGAUUUGUAAGUCAGUUGUGAAAGGUUGGGGCUCAACCGUAGAACUGCAGUUGAAACUGGCCGUCUUGAGUACAGGAGAGGUGGGUGGAAUUCGUGGUGUAGCGGUGAAAUGCUUAGAUAUCACGAAGAACACCGAUUGCGAAGGCAGCUAACUGGACUGCAACUGACACUGAGGCUCGAAAGUGUGGGUAUCAAACAGGAUUAGAUACCCGUGUAGUC
rnacentral:rRNA from 1 species